rnacentral:rRNA from 1 species
UGGUGGUUAUGGCGGAGCGGCUGCACCCGAUCCCAUUCCGAACUCGGCCGUGAAACGCUCCAGCGCCAAUGGUACUUCGUCUCAAGACGC